UGUUCAUGGUCUUAGUGCCCGGUUCAGAUGCAAGGCCUGCCAGGAAGAUUGGGUGAUCGGUGAAAUUAAAUGUGUUCCAGCACUGGCCUUCAUCUGUGGAAAACCUGAAAACAGACAUCAAAGAGCCAAAAAAAUUACAACUGCUUAAAACAAAUAACACACGGUAACCUGGAUGCUGCAAAUCAUUUUGCCACUAUAAGACCUCCAGAGUCCAGGAUGCUAUAGAGAUGCGGUCCUCUCAAAGUCCCCCACCAGGUGUAUCCUCCAUCUCCAGACACAUACACAUCCGGCCGGGCAGCUGAUAUGGAGUCCCCGACGCUACCUGCGCUGACACAGAAGGAACCUGUGUUAAACCAAGUAUAAAAGUGUACCUCCUGGGUUGUCCACGUGCAUGAAGAUCAUGUCCUCAUCACCGUCCAGAACCGAGUAGAACUGUGAACAAACACCUUGAGUUAGUCUCAUAAGAAUCUUCGUGUGCAUCUCUUAUAUAAGCAACACUACAAAAGUUGUCAAUGGGACAGUACUUUUAAAAAGGUCCUAAUAUGUGACAUUUUGGUACAGUAAGGUACCUCUAAGGAACCAAUGUGUAUCUUUGAGGUACCAGUGUGUAUCUUUGAGGUACCAAUGUGCACCUUUAAGGUACAAAAGUGUUCUUUUUGAAAUGGUACUCCCCAGUAACAGCUUUGUUACCUUCUUGUACCUUCUUUUUUCAUCGGAGUGCCCAUGCUGACACAAGGAGAACAUGCAAACUCCACACAGAAAACCUCCUGACGCAAAUAAGACUUGCGGUAAGGCAACAGUGCUAUCCACUGAGCCACUGUGGUGUAACUGAUGUGGUUUUGGAUGAACUAACCCUUCAAAGUAAUUUCAAUUGUUAGGUGAAACAUAUCACUAGGAAAUGUUUGCUAAAUGCCUAAUGGUAAAUGUGGAAAUGUUUUUAAAGUCACAAUGACACAUAAGUAGCUAUUAUCUUAUUUUCCCCAUUGUAUAUUAUAUAUUGUAUAUAACAGUAAAACAGCGUCUGAAAUGAGAAUGGGUCAUUCUACGGAAAUGUAAAUUUUUCUGUCCCUAGCCUUUACAGAAAUGUUACACUUGAAACACCUAAGGGUUACAAUUUUUUAUAUUUAAAAAUGAGACAAUAUGUUUUUUGAACAUUUACAUCUUCUUGAGCCAUCAAUGUAGCAAUAUUUCAUUUUUAUUAAUUAAUUAGAAUUCCAAGCAUCUCAGAAGUGCUCUUCCCCUCAGUCAUGUACACAGGGAAAAUGCUUUAUUUUUAGAUCAAAAACAGUGUUUUCUUCCAUUUAAAAUACAAUAAUGUGUAAAUAACUAUCAAAUAUAUGAUGUAAAUUAAAUUAAAAGACAAAAUGCUAAAUAAAUAUUAUAAAAUAUAUAAUGAAAAUAGUGGUCCCCUGGAGUUGUGUCACUGGUGUUACUGUUUAACAAAAAGCUCUUGUUUUUAAAUAAAAAUCACACUGAUGACAUCACUUGACUUCCUUCUUUCCACUUCCCGGAGAUCUAUGAAGAGACGCCCAUAUAUGUCCACUGUCUCUUUUCAGUUAUCAGAAAUCUUCUCAUUUAUCUCAUGAUUUCAUAUGAAGCUUUUAGUUUAAGUCACUGGUAUGAUGUCCCUUAUUGUUUGGAAAUUGCAAAAAACUAGAAUACAAAUGAAUUAAACUACUUAAUUUAGUGAAUAUACAAUGAUUGACAACCUGUGGUUUGAUACUUUGCAGCAGAAAUUUUGUAAAAUGCAGUUUUCAUGUAAAUUGUCACUGGUGAUACCUUCCUAACAGCAGCGAAGAUCAGUAACACCAGUGACUGGUGAUUUGUUGUGUCACUGGUGUUACUGUGUUUUUAUUUCUUUCACAUUAAGUAAAAUCUUUCACAUGUGACAUGAUGAUAAUUUUUUAUUAAUUGAAUUCUGCUACACUUUAACACCUUCAUAAACACCUUUUAAUAUUGCUAAAAAAGUAAGGUAACACCAGUGACAAAAAAGGUCUAUGCAGUCUUGAAGUACAUGCACACAAAAAAUAAAAAAUCAUUAAGCUGUCAUUUAUGUGUACUUAUAACGUCAAAUAGUAAUCUAAUAAUGUGGUCUAAGUUUAAAUGUUAGAAAAAUAAAUACAUUUUAUCAUGCCAAAAGUGGACGUUUCUGUAGAAUGACCAGAAUACACGUAGGGCGGGACUUGAACUCGUCCAUCGAGAACUGAUUGGAUCGUUGGAAGUUGGGUCAUUUUGCUAAUUGCUAAUCGCUGCAAUAUUUUCCCAUACCCCACCCUUGUGCCAUAGCUCAUGACCGGAAGUAAAGCGAGAUCGGUUCGAGGAUGGGAGGACAUUAAGGCUUUUUAUACAUUUUAAUUUUACUGAAUUGAUGUUAAUGUGGGAACUUUAUGCUCUUCAUUUUAAUUGUGUUCUAAUGUUUACUAUUAACCUAUUAUUGCAUUUUUGUUUGAUACUUAAUUUAAAUUUUCAAAAUGAAUAAAUAAAUAAAUAAAUACUUUUUUUACAAUAUUUAAGCUUUUGGCAGACGAUUUAAAAGCGACUUACAGUGAAUUAAAAGGUAUACAUUAUCAUUAUGUAUUCCCUGGGUUCAAACCCAUGUCCUUUGCGUUGCAAACACAAUGCUCUACCACUGAGCUUAACAACUCUGUUCUGUAAGGCAGUGUUUCCCAACCUUUUUUCUGUUUUGAUAAGUAAAAAAUUCAUACGGCACACCACUUUCACAAUAAACAUUAACAGAUCUGCACAAACCUGUUGCAAUGCUUAAAUGACUUGUUAAACUGAAAUAUUAUACUGUAUAAACCUAGUAUUCACAUUUAAUGUGAAACUUGAUCAUGUUUUGAUGAACACAAAUGAUAUCCUGGCUGGAAUUGAUGACAGUGACACACGCAGCUGUGACCAACUCAGGAACCUGGUAGCUAGCUUCGAGCACUUUUUCAAACACUGUGGCAAUUUUAUUUUCCACAGCAUACCAAACAAGUGGUCACGGCACACUAGUGGUUAGGAAACACUGCUGUAAGGGUUAAAGCUGAGUUUCUGUACCCUUUUCAUGUCUUGCCUGAAAUGGGGGUGGUUGUGUUUCUGUUGUGCACUCUCUGGAAGGUUCCCGAAGUGAUCCUCGGCCUACAGGUGCUCGGUUAAAUAAAGCCUUAGGCAAGAGUUUUGUUUAAACUAAUUUUUGUGUCUGUGCCUUUUUCUUGGAUGCUACACUAUAUUUGAAGGACACUGGCAAUACCACCACAAACCCCAAGGGGCCCUGGACCCCUGUUGAAGAACCAAUGUUUCA